AUCCGGCUGACGAAACCAAAAUUGAACGAAACGCGAGUCCUGGAU
rnacentral:hammerhead_ribozyme from 1 species